rnacentral:tRNA from 1 species
AACAAUGUAGUUUAUAUAAGAAUGACGGGUUUGCGUCUCGUAGGAGGAGAGAUCUCAUAGUUA